rnacentral:tRNA from 1 species
CGAGAAAGGAAGGAAUCGAACCCCCAUAAACUAGUUU